CGGCGUGCCUAAUACAUGCAAGUCGAGCGAACGGACGAGAAGCUUGCUUCUCUGAUGUUAGCGGCGGACGGGUGAGUAACACGUGGAUAACCUACCUAUAAGACUGGGAUAACUUCGGGAAACCGGAGCUAAUACCGGAUAAUAUUUUGAACCGCAUGGUUCAAAAGUGAAAGACGGUCUUGCUGUCACUUAUAGAUGGAUCCGCGCUGCAUUAGCUAGUUGGUAAGGUAACGGCUUACCAAGGCAACGAUGCAUAGCCGACCUGAGAGGGUGAUCGGCCACACUGGAACUGAGACACGGUCCAGACUCCUACGGGAGGCAGCAGUAGGGAAUCUUCCGCAAUGGGCGAAAGCCUGACGGAGCAACGCCGCGUGAGUGAUGAAGGUCUUCGGAUCGUAAAACUCUGUUAUUAGGGAAGAACAUAUGUGUAAGUAACUGUGCACAUCUUGACGGUACCUAAUCAGAAAGCCACGGCUAACUACGUGCCAGCAGCCGCGGUAAUACGUAGGUGGCAAGCGUUAUCCGGAAUUAUUGGGCGUAAAGCGCGCGUAGGCGGUUUUUUAAGUCUGAUGUGAAAGCCCACGGCUCAACCGUGGAGGGUCAUUGGAAACUGGAAAACUUGAGUGCAGAAGAGGAAAGUGGAAUUCCAUGUGUAGCGGUGAAAUGCGCAGAGAUAUGGAGGAACACCAGUGGCGAAGGCGACUUUCUGGUCUGUAACUGACGCUGAUGUGCGAAAGCGUGGGGAUCAAACAGGAUUAGAUACCCUGGUAGUCCACGCCGUAAACGAUGAGUGCUAAGUGUUAGGGGGUUUCCGCCCCUUAGUGCUGCAGCUAACGCAUUAAGCACUCCGCCUGGGGAGUACGACCGCAAGGUUGAAACUCAAAGGAAUUGACGGGGACCCGCACAAGCGGUGGAGCAUGUGGUUUAAUUCGAAGCAACGCGAAGAACCUUACCAAAUCUUGACAUCCUUUGACAACUCUAGAGAUAGAGCUUUCCCCUUCGGGGGACAAAGUGACAGGUGGUGCAUGGUUGUCGUCAGCUCGUGUCGUGAGAUGUUGGGUUAAGUCCCGCAACGAGCGCAACCCUUAAGCUUAGUUGCCAUCAUUAAGUUGGGCACUCUAAGUUGACUGCCGGUGACAAACCGGAGGAAGGUGGGGAUGACGUCAAAUCAUCAUGCCCCUUAUGAUUUGGGCUACACACGUGCUACAAUGGACAAUACAAAGGGCAGCGAAACCGCGAGGUCAAGCAAAUCCCAUAAAGUUGUUCUCAGUUCGGAUUGUAGUCUGCAACUCGACUACAUGAAGCUGGAAUCGCUAGUAAUCGUAGAUCAGCAUGCUACGGUGAAUACGUUCCCGGGUCUUGUACACACCGCCCGUCACACCACGAGAGUUUGUAACACCCGAAGCCGGUGGAGUAACCUUUUAGGAGCUAGCCGUCGAAG
rnacentral:rRNA from 2 species